AUGAUAUGUCUCUUUUGGAAUUGUAGGGGGGCAGGGAAGAAAGGAAUGAGCUCCUGUCUCUCUUAUAUCAUUAGAGAUCAUUCCCUGGACUUUAUUGACUCACAAAAAAGUUAUAUGGACAGUUUCUUUAGGAAAAUUGACCCAUACCAGACAUAUGAAUGGAACUUUGUUCCAUCUAUAGGCAGAUCUGGGGGAAUCCUUUGUGGAGUGAGAAAAGAGAGGUUUGAAGGAGUAGUGUGGAAGAAUGGCAGGUUUAUCCUACAAGCUUCAUUUUUUGAUAAUAAAGAAAAAAAGAAAUGGACAUUGUGCACUGUGUAUGGGGCUGCACAUGAUAAAGAUGAUGAUGACUUUCUAACUGAACUUUCUGAGUUCUUUAGCCAUAUAUCACCCCCUUUACUUAUUGGGGGAGACUUUAAUAUCCUUAGGCAUGCUGGGGAAAAAACAAACCAUGGCAACAUUCCACUUAUUCUGAUUUGUUUAAUUCUGUGA
rnacentral:rRNA from 1 species